rnacentral:rRNA from 1 species
GACGAACGCUGGCGGCGUGCUUAACACAUGCAAGUCGAGCGGUAAGGCCCUUUCGGGGGUACACGAGCGGCGAACGGGUGAGUAACACGUGGGUGACCUGCCCUCAGCUCUGGGGAUAAGCCUGGGAAACUGGGUCUAAUACUGGAUAUGACUCCACGGUGCAUGUCGUGGGGUGGAAAGCCUUGUGCGGCUGAGGAUGGGCCCGCGGCCUAUCAGCUUGUUGGUGGGGUGAUGGCCUACCAAGGCGACGACGGGUAGCCGGCCUGAGAGGGCGACCGGCCACACUGGGACUGAGACAGGCCCAGACUCCUACGGGAGGCAGCAGUGGGGAAUCUUGCGCAAUGGGCGAAAGCCUGACGCAGCGACGCCG